AUUAGAACAAUCAAUGAGCCCAACACGAGCGAACUGACACCGACUCAUGUUUACUUGUUUAUAAAAUAAGUCGAAAAAGAGCUUGUUCGUUAAAAUAUUAAGUUGAAAAAAUUUAUCUUAUGUUGGACUUAUUUAUUAACGAUCCAAAUACAAGCUAGCUCGUGAGCAGUAAAUUAGAUUAUCAGCUCUAUUACUGAGUAAAAAUUGAAAGAAAAUAGAAUCUUAAAAUCUUAAUUAUAUAUAUAGAGAGAGAGAGAGAGAGAGAGAGAGAAAGAGAGAGUAUGGAUAUGGUGCUUUGAAAAGCACCAAGCAAUUGGUGCUUGUAAGUUUUUUAUCAUUAGAUCUAUCCCUUCGGCCAAUUCCAUCCCUUAGAUUACGCUAUUCCACCGACCGUCCGCUCAACCCUAAAAAGAAUUACCAUUAUCCUAAUCCUACAAAUCUUCAUCCAAAGACCGAAAACCUAAAAGCACCAAUGGUUUGAUGUUUUAAAAUCAUAGCAGCUCAAUUCAUAUAUAUACAUAUGAAUAUUCGAGCUAUAUCAAGCCGAACAUGAGUGAGCUGACUCCAACUCGUAUUCGGCUCGUUUGCUAAAUGAACGAUUGAUCUCAAACUCAUUUCGACCAAGCACACGCUAGCUCGUGAACAACGAGCUUGAUUGCCAACCUUAAUUAGAAUUAAAUGAUUUUAACCAAAUAUAUUUAAAAUUUUAUCACAUUGAGGGCUUAUUUGGUUUAAGAGUAGAAUUAGAAUGGAUAAUAGAAUGAGAAUGAAUUGGAAUGGCAAUUGGAUUGCCCUACUCCCCCAAGACGUUUGGUUCAUUUCUGGAUUGAAAAUUGGAAUGAAUUAUUCCUAUUUUACUGUUUGGUUCAUACAAAAUAAAAAAUAAUAGAAUAACAUAAUAUUAAUUUUACUUUUAAAUAUAAUUUUAUAAAACUAUCUACAAUUUAUAAAAAAAAAAUUAAUACUAUUCUCAAGUUAGAGCUAUGC
rnacentral:lncRNA from 1 species